rnacentral:rRNA from 1 species
AUUGAACGCUGACGGCAGGCCUAACACAUGCAAGUCGAGCGGAUGAAGGGAGCUUGCUCCUGGAUUCAGCGGCGGACGGGUGAGUAAUGCCUAGGAAUCUGCCUGGUAGUGGGGGAUAACGUCCGGAAACGGGCGCUAAUACCGCAUACGUCCUGAGGGAGAAAGUGGGGGAUCUUCGGACCUCACGCUAUCAGAUGAGCCUAGGUCGGAUUAGCUAGUUGGUGGGGUAAAGGCCUACCAAGGCGACGAUCCGUAACUGGUCUGAGAGGAUGAUCAGUCACACUGGAACUGAGACACGGUCCAGACUCCUACGGGAGGCAGCAGUGGGGAAUAUUGGACAAUGGGCGAAAGCCUGAUCCAGCCAUGCCGCGUGUGUGAAGAAGGUCUUCGGAUUGUAAAGCACUUUAAGUUGGGAGGAAGGGCAGUAAGUUAAUACCCUGCUGUUUUGACGUUACCAACAGAAUAAGCACCGGCUAACUUCGUG